rnacentral:rRNA from 1 species
CGCGGCCUAUCAGCUUGUUGGUGAGGUAAUGGCUCACCAAGGCAACGACGGGUAGCCGGCCUGAGAGGGUGACCGGCCACACUGGGACUGAGACACGGCCCAGACUCCUACGGGAGGCAGCAGUGGGGAAUAUUGCACAAUGGGCGAAAGCCUGAUGCAGCGACGCCGCGUGAGGGAUGACGGCCUUCGGGUUGUAAACCUCUUUCAGCAGGGAAGAAGCCACAAGUGACGGUACCUGCAGAAGAAGCGCCGGCUAACUACGUGCCAGCAGCCGCGGUAAUACGUAGGGCGCAAGCGUUGUCCGGAAUUGUUGGGCGUAAAGAGCUCGUAGGCGGUUUGUCGCGUCUGCUGUGAAAGCCCGGGGCUUAACCCCGGGUGUGCAGUGGGUACGGGCAGACUAGAGUGCAGUAGGGGAGACUGGAAUUCCUGGUGUAGCGGUGGAAUGCGCAGAUAUCAGGAGGAACACCGAUGGCGAAGGCAGGUCUCUGGGCUGUUACUGACGCUGAGGAGCGAAAGCAUGGGGAGCGAACAGGAUUAGAUACCCUGGUAGUCCAUGCCGUAAACGUUGGGCACUAGGUGUGGGGAGCAUUCCACGUGUUCCGCGCCGUAGCUAACGCAUUAAGCGCCCCGCCUGGGGAGUACGG